CUGGGAGCGACAGAGAAGCCGGCCUCGCGGAGCCGCUCUGACCGCCUCAGGAGCCCCUGAAGGCCAGACACCCACACAGCCGCCCCUCUCUAGUCUCACUGUCUCAUUUGCUAACAACAGGGUCACGUCAGGCAACGCUGAAGGAAGGCCCGGGAGCUCGGUGGGUCUGACCCAGGGGAGCUUCAAAGCCUCGCUCUGCCCAUUUCCCAGAAGCCUCUGCCCCCCCCCCCCGGGGAUGUAAGAGGAGGCCAGAGGCAGAGCCUGAGGGAGCCCGCCCCACAGCCCUGCGACUCCCCAGAGGUCGCUCUGACCCAGGGACGAGACUGUGCCGGCAGCGGGGAGCUGGGCCGGACAGACGAAGCAGGAGCGCAGGGCUGCCAGAGUACCUUCCGGGUGGGCCCUGAGAGCACCUGGCACCCCGGCCAUCCCAGAGGUGGCUUCCGUCCCUGUCGCUUCCCCCCACGCCGCCUGCCCUGCACUGGCCCAGACCUUCUGACCCCAAACCAGAAGCCUGAGACAGCAGAGCUGGUACAGAUGGGAAAACUGAGGACCACACGCCAGGAGCGGCUCAGCGGGAGGGUGGCUGAACGAACUUCCCUUCCGGGCCACCCGGCUUCCAGAACAGUGCGGGCCCUGGGUCACAGACCAGGCAGGAAGCGGCUGAGCUGUGUGACUAUGUGCUGGUCCCUCAGCUUCCCAGGGCCUCAGUUUCCUCACCUGAAGAAAGGGAUCAUUAAAAAAA